GGCCAGGGAGGGAGAGGGCAGGCCAGGGGCUGCCGGGGAGGCUGAUGGGGAAGAAAGGAAUUUGGUUGAAAUUGGAGCCAGAGGGAAUGUGAGCGCCGCCGGGAUCAGGCCGCUCCUCAGAGAGAUUACUGGCAUUCCUCCGGGUCCCAGCUCCCUCCCGGGGAGAGCAGCCCCAACAAAUGGCAGGCCCGUCGCCCAGAACAGGGCAGAAGAGAAGGAAACUGAGGACCCAAAAAGAAGAAGUGACUUUGUCCAUGAUCACUGGGAGGAAAGACAGAAACCUCCAAGGGCCUGAUGGCGAAAGAGUGGGAAGUCAAGAGAUGGGAUUACUGGAUAUACCAAAGGCAGCUCCCAGAGGCUUGGAACUUUGCCAAGGACUGGUACCCAACGGGGUCUUCAUCCUCCUGCUUC